AAAUGAAUAGACGGGGGCCCGCACAAGCGGAGGAACAUGUGGUUUAAUUCGAUGAUACGCGAGGAACCUUACCCGGGCUUGAAAUGGAGACGAAUGUUCGUGAAAGCGGAUAGCCGGCAACGGCGUCUUUGUAGGUGCUGCAUGGUUGUCGUCAGCUCGUGCCGUGAGGUGUCGGCUUAAGUGCCACAACGAGCGCAACCCCUGUCGUCGGUUGCCAGCGGGUGAUGCCGGGGACUUCGACGAGACUGCCACCGUAAGGUGCGAGGAGGGUGGGGAUGACGUCAAAUCAGCACGGCCCUUACGUCCGGGGCGACACACGUGUUACAAUGGGGGGUACAGAGGGCCGCGACCGCGCGAGCGGGAGCCAAUCUCGAAAGCCCCUCUCAGUUCGGAUCGGAGUCUGCAACUCGACUCCGUGAAGUUGGAUUCGCUAGUAAUCGCGCAUCAGCCAUGGCGCGGUGAAUACGUUCCCGGGCCUUGUACACACCGCCCGU
rnacentral:rRNA from 1 species